AUUGAACGCUGGCGGCAGGCCUAACACAUGCAAGUCGAACGAGUGGCGGACGGGUGAGUAAUGUCUGGGAAACUGCCUGAUGGAGGGGGAUCACUACUGGAAACGGUAGCUAAUACCGCAUACCCUCAGAUGUGCCAAGAUGGGAUUAGCUUGUUGGUGGGGUAACGGCUCACCAAGGCGGCGAGCCCUAGCUGGUCUGAGAGGAUGACCAGCCAAACUGGAACUUAGACACGGUCCAGACUCCUACGGUAGGCAGCAGUGGGAAAUAUUGCACAAUGGGCGCAAGCCUGAUGCAGCCAUGCCGCUUGUAUUAAGAAGGCCUUCGGGUUGUAAAGUACUUUCAGCGGGGAGGCGUUACCCGCAGAAGAAGCCCCGGCUAACUCCGUGCCAGCAGCCGCGGUAAUAC
rnacentral:rRNA from 1 species